CUGGAAUGAUGCAGCUUAGCCAAAUCAGACAUCGAUGUGCUCCAUAAGGUGCUGUCAUCAAAGCUUGUCUUGGUUGUUAUUGAGUUUCAUUCUGGUUCUCUUGCAUUCCUUGAUCAAGCUUUGGGUCACAUGCCUUUUGUAGAAGCGCAUCCGUGUGAUGUUAAAAAUGGAGAUUGGAUGUUCACUGACCAGA